rnacentral:rRNA from 1 species
UACGAAGGGGGCUAGCGUUGCUCGGAAUCACUGGGCGUAAAGGGUGCGUAGGCGGGUCUUUUAAGUCAGAGGUGAAAUCCUGGAGCUCAACUCCAGAACUGCCUUUGAUACUGAGGAUCUUGAGUUCGGGAGAGGUGAGUGGAACUGCGAGUGUAGAGGUGAAAAUUCGUAGAUAUUCGCAAGAACACCAGUGGCGAAGGCGGCUCACUGGCCCGAUACUGACGCUGAGGCACGAAAAG